rnacentral:rRNA from 1 species
UACGUAGGGUGCGAGCGUUGUCCGGAAUUACUGGGCGUAAAGAGCUCGUAGGUGGUUUGUCGCGUUGUUCGUGAAAACUCACAACUCAAUUGUGGGCGUGCGGGCGAUACGGGCAGACUAGAGUACUGCAGGGGAGACUGGAAUUCCUGGUGUAGCGGUGGAAUGCGCAGAUAUCAGGAGGAACACCGGUGGCGAAGGCGGGUCUCUGGGCCGAUACUGACGCUGAGGAGCGAAAGCGUGGGGAGCGAACAGG